rnacentral:rRNA from 1 species
GACGAACGCUGGCGGCGUGCUUUACACAUGCAAGUCGAACGGUGAAGGUGGAGCUUGCUCCGCCGGAUCAGUGGCGAACGGGUGAGUAACACGUGGGCAACCUGCCCCUAACUUUGGGAUAACUACUCGAAAGAGUAGCUAAUACCGGAUAUGAAGUCUGUAGGCAUCUAUGGAUUUGGAAAGUUUUUCGGUUAGGGAUGGGCCCGCGGCCUAUCAGCUUGUUGGUGAGGUAGUGGCUCACCAAGGCGACGACGGCUAGCCGGCCUGAGGGGGCGACCGGCCACACUGGGACUGAGACACGGCCCAGACUCCUACGGGAGGCAGCAGUGGGGAAUAUUGCGCAAUGGGCGAAAGCCUGACGCAGCAACGCCGCGUGCGGGAUGAAGGCCUUCGGGUUGUAAACCGCUUUCAGCAGGGAAGAAGCGAAAGUGACGGUACCUGCAGAAGAAGCACCGGCUAACUACGUGCCAGCAGCCGCGGUAA